rnacentral:rRNA from 1 species
UACGGGGGGGGCAAGCGUUGUUCGGAAUUACUGGGCGUAAAGGGCUCGUAGGUGGCCAACUAAGUCAGACGUGAAAUCCCUCGGCUUAACCGGGGAACUGCGUCUGAUACUGGAUGGCUUGAGUUCGGGAGAGGGAUGCGGAAUUCCAGGUGUAGCGGUGAAAUGCGUAGAUAUCUGGAGGAACACCGGUGGCGAAGGCGGCACCCUGGACCGACACUGACACUGAGGAGCGAAAGCCAGGGGAGCAAACGGG